rnacentral:rRNA from 1 species
UGGGGAAUUUUGGACAAUGGACGCAAGUCUGAUCCAGCCAUGCCGCGUGCGGGAAGAAGGCCUUCGGGUUGUAAACCGCUUUUGUCAGGGAAGAAACGAGUUUCUCUAAUACAGAGACUUAAUGACGGUACCUGAAGAAUAAGCACCGGCUAACUACGUGCCAGCAGCCGCGGUAAUACGUAGGGUGCAAGCGUUAAUCGGAAUUACUGGGCGUAAAGCGUGCGCAGGCGGUUAUGCAAGACAGAUGUGAAAUCCCCGGGCUCAACCUGGGAACUGCAUUUGUGACUGUAUAGCUAGAGUACGGCAGAGGGGGAUGGAAUUCCGCGUGUAGCAGUGAAAUGCGUAGAUAUGCGGAGAAACACCGAUGGCGAAGGCAAUCCCCUGGGCCUGUACUGACGCUCAUGCACGAAAGCGUGGGGAGCAAACA